rnacentral:lncRNA from 1 species
GGCAUGAGCUGUGGGUUCUAGGGUUUCAACUCUAGGUUUUGUGAGAGAAAAAUACAAGAGUGAGUCUUGUCCAAUCUUUCACACCACCAUCUUCUCGUAAAGCUUUGCCUUCUGAUCUGGAAGAGUCUAGAAGAUCCGAAGAAAGGAGCUUGGAUCGGCCAUCCAGAUCUUUCGAUGCGAGCUAGCACUCCGAUGAAGGA